UACGGAGGGUGCAAGCGUUAUCCGGAUUCACUGGGUUUAAAGGGUGCGUAGGCGGGCUUGUAAGUCAGUGGUGAAAUCUCCGGGCUUAACUCGGAAACUGCCGUUGAUACUAUCUGUCUUGAAUACCGUGGAGGUCAGCGGAAUAUGUCAUGUAGCGGUGAAGUGCUUAGAUAUGACAUAGAACACCAAUUGCGAAGGCAGCUGGCUACACGAAUAUUGACACUGAUGCACGAAAGCGUGGGGAUCAAACAGG
rnacentral:rRNA from 1 species